GACGAACGCUGGCGGCGUGCUUAACACAUGCAAGUCGAACGGAAAGGCCCUGCUUUUGUUGGGUGCUCGAGUGGCGAACAGGUGAGUAACACGUGAGGAACCUGCCCUUAACUUUGUGAUAACUUCAGGAAACUGGGGCUAAUACCGGGGAGGAGCUCCUGCUGCGUGUGGGUGGUUGGAAAGUUUCGGCUGUGGGGGAUGUACUCGCGGCUUAUCAGCUUGUUGGUGGGGUAGGUGCUGACCAGGGCUUUGACGGGUAGCCGGCCUGAGAGGGUGACCGGGCACAUUGGGACUGCGAUAGGGACCAGAAUCCUACGGGCGGCAGCAGUCGGGAAUAUUGCACAAUGGGCGGACGUCUGAUGUAGCAAUGCCGCGUGCGGGAUGCCGGCCUUCGGGUUGUAAACCGAUUUCGCAUGUGCUGAAGAGUGCGUGACGGUAAUGGGUAAAGAAGCAACGGCUAACUACGUG
rnacentral:rRNA from 1 species